ensembl:snoRNA SNORD25 Small nucleolar RNA SNORD25
CUCCCUGUGAUGAGGACCUUUUCACAGACCUGUACUGAGUUCCGUGAGGAUAAAUAACUCUGAGGAAAC